CCUACGGGAGGCAGCAGUGGGGAAUUUUGGACAAUGGGCGCAAGCCUGAUCCAGCCAUGCCGCGUGCGGGAAGAAGGCCUUCGGGUUGUAAACCGCUUUCGGCUGGAACGAAAUCGCCCGGGUGAACAUCCCGGGUGGAUGACGGUACCGGAAGAAGAAGCACCGGCUAACUACGUGCCAGCAGCCGCGGUAAUACGUAGGGUGCGAGCGUUAAUCGGAAUUACUGGGCGUAAAGCGUGCGCAGGCGGUCUCGUAAGACAGGUGUGAAAUCCCCGGGCUCAACCUGGGAACUGCGCUUGUGACUGCGAGGCUGGAGUGUGGCAGAGGGAGGUGGAAUUCCACGUGUAGCAGUGAAAUGCGUAGAGAUGUGGAGGAACACCGAUGGCGAAGGCAGCCUCCUGGGCCAGCACUGACGCUCAUGCACGAAAGCGUGGGGAGCAAACAGGAUUAGAUACCCUGGUAGUCCACGCCCUAAACGAUGACGACUAGUUGUUGGGGUAGAAGUACCUUAGUAACGCAGCUAACGCGUGAAGUCGUCCGCCUGGGGAGUACGGUCGCAAGAUUAAAACUCAAAGGAAUUGACGG
rnacentral:rRNA from 1 species